UACGAAGGGGGCUAGCGUUGUUCGGAAUCACUGGGCGUAAAGGGCGCGUAGGCGGCGCGUCAAGUCAGGCGUGAAAGCCCCGGGCUCAACCCGGGAAUUGCGCUUGAUACUGUCGUGCUUGAGGCCGGGAGAGGAUGGCGGAAUUCCCAGUGUAGAGGUGAAAUUCGUAGAUAUUGGGAAGAACACCGGUGGCGAAGGCGGCCAUCCGGACCGGUUCUGACGCUGAGGCGCGAAAGCGUGGGGAGCAAACAGG
rnacentral:rRNA from 1 species